AAACAUUUAUGAAUUGCUUUGGAUUGAACUCUUCAACUCUGAACUUCAAUCCCAUUUCCCUCCCCGAAUGGCACCAAGGGAUCAUUUCUAUUCUCCACCUUAUCUCACUGGGGACACUCUAGAGUUGUGUUGUGUAUAUAGUGGAAGCAGGUUGGAGGCAGUGAACUCCUUUGUGUGAUACUGCUGAAAAACUAUUUCAGCUGGACCCACAGCAAGUGUUCAGAAGCUAUCUUUCCUUUGCUUUACUGCAGCUGGAUAUGAAACCAAGUUCCAAUGCACAAGCUACAUUGGACAUCAAGACCAGCCCUUCCCCAGUAUUCUGUCUGGUGGACAAACAUAUUGAGUUGCAUUGUAAUUUUACAAUCUGGAAGAGUGUUAAAUUGGAGGAUGUGGCAGUGAAAUGGACCAUAAACAAUGAAUUUGGAGAGAAGACAGUAUACCAGUUUGAUGGAAAGCAUACAUUAUACCACCGGAAUGGGGCCUUGGUGAAUCCUGAAUUACUAACCCAGGGCAGCGCAUCACUGAACCUGCAUAAUGUGACAUUAGAUGAUGAAGGGAUCUACACAUGCACUGUUUUAAUAACCCCACAAUAUGGAAGUGGGACAAUCCAGCUCCAAGUCAGAGCUCAGCCUACAGUGUUGCUGUCACCCCAAAACCCUGAAAUUACAGCAGGGGGAGAGAAAACCUUUUCCUGUGAUGUUCAUCAAUUUUACCCUCAAGAGAUUGACAUUUCCUGGCUGGUUAGGAAGUAUGGCAGUAAACACGAGAGGCCUUUAACGCAGGACAUCUGCACGGGAGUCCCAUUGGCUCAUGAUAAAAAGGGCAUGUUCACCGUGUUGAGCCGGGUGACGCGAGAGGUGUCUGAAGAGGAUGAUGGAUCCUUGUACAUCUGUGAAGUCCGACAUGAAUCCCUGGAAAAGCCGCUGAGACGAAAUACAACCAUAUUUGUCACGACCCCAAAGCAGUAUCAUCGGGAUAUUGGGUUCAUUGUUGGAGUAGCUGCUGCUUGUAUUGUGAUAACUGGAGCGUGUAGUAUAUUUUUGACCAUAUUCUAUCGGGAACAACUUAUGAAAGUGCCGCCUCAGGUUUCCUUGAUUAACAAACCAGAUGUGAUCCCGAUUAAUGAGAAGCUGAAGCUGAUGUGCAACAUAAAUGGGUUUAGACCAAAAGCAAUUAGUGUGAAAUGGUACCGGAGAACCCCCCAAAUGGCAUCAAAUGAAGCUCCUGGAGAAGUCUCUUUUCUUCUGGGUCCGAGAGACGAUAUUACAGACAAGGCAAGGCAGCCUUUGGAAACCAAUGGCAAGUUCUUCAGUGUUCCAUCCUGUCUGACCUACACACCCACUAUCCGGGAUGAUGGGGCAGUGUUUGAAUGCAGCGUUGAGCACAGUGCACUGAAAAGUGCCAUAUGGAUAAGCACCACACUGAGUGUCACCGCUCGGCCGACAAGUCUCUACAUCACUAGCUGGCCUCAGGCUCCCACGGUAGGAGAGAAGCUCAUUCUGAGCUGCGUAGUAGAGAAAUUUUACCCAAAGGAUAUCACUUUGACUUGGUUUCGAAAUGGACAACUGGUUAGCGAUGUGACACAGUUUGGACCUUUCCCUUGUGAAAUAGACUAUUUCAGUGUCUGGAGCCAGACUGAGUUUAUACUGACCAAUGAGGAGGAAGGGGCAGUUUAUAUCUGUCAGAUAAAACACAGCAGCUUUGGAAAUAUAGAAGAACUCUUCUACGAAGUUAACUUGCAAGGGACGCCCCCUGAAGUUCUCUGGAUCACCACAGACCCCUCCGUUCCUGUGGUGGGAGAGGAGCUGAGGCUGAACUGCAGGAUCAAUAACUUCUCCCCUAACGUGAUCACUGUGAACUGGUUCCGAGAUGGGCAGCUCCUGCAAGCGGGAGUCUGCCAUUCAGUCUCCAUAAUGGGAGCCAAUGGUUUGCACUCCGUCUGGAGUGUUUUGAGAGUCACGCCUGGAAGGGAAGAGGAAGGAGCAGUGUUUACGUGUCGGGUGACACAUGCUGCUUUAAGGGACUCUGUAGAAAGAUCAUACACUCUGCAGCUGCCUGAUUGAUGUGGUGAAGGUUCAACAGACUGUCCAGGGUGGGAAAGAAAGCAGAAGGUACACUUCCAGCACAGGGAAAAUUCUCUGGAAAUGAAAUACUGAAAAGUUGAUUCUCCAUCCCUCCCACUUCAUCUCCUGGCUUUCACGUUCUCCUUGUAAAGGGAUACUAACUGCUAAGGACUGUGUCUGGUUAUAUGUCACGCUCGUGGCAGCUGCUUGCUGCCUUUCUGUAUGAGAAGCACCAGUUCAUCAGCUGGCUUGUAGACAGAGAGAAAUUUUUGUUCUUUAGCUUCACUUUUGGUUAAAGGAUGGCCUAGCUUCCUGCAUUUGGUGGGUUGUACAGAAUUGCUAAAUGUGCAUGUGAGAAACACUGUAGAGUCAGUAUUAUUAACAUAAAACUUUUUCUUAGUAUUAUUAACACCUAGGAUUUAUCUCCAAAGGGCAUUAAGUAAGUACUAGGGCUAGGGUAGCUAGGGCAUAGCUAUCAACCUGUUUAACAGAAAGAAAAACUGAGACACAAAGUAGUGAAAAUGAUUUACCCAAGGUUACGUAGAGAGCUGUGGAAUUAUUUUCACAGAUACUAAGGGGUUCAUUGGCUUUCAUGUACAUUGAAAUGAUCCUACUUGAUUCCUAGACAGAAAUGGGCAAGGCCAUGAUGAAGACAAGAGAAGACCUAUCACACAUAUUUUACCACUGGGUGUCUCUCUUUACCUCAUCACUGGCGAUAGAACUGAAAAAUGUAAAGACGGCUCUGCACUCUGGCCUGUGGUGUCCAAAGUGUGUUAGCUAGCCCAGUGUGAAUGGAGAAAGAGCUUUGCCUUUUGUUUUCUUGAUUCUUUUCACAAUCAAGUAUUUGCAAAUUCAUUUAUUGAACAGAAAAUUGACACUCCUCCUAUACUUCUUACACAGUGGAUCGACUCCAGCUGCUUUGAGGAAUGAAUUCCCUUUCUCAGUGAGCCAACUCUAGAUCUGCUGUAAAUGGUCGCCAUUCCAAUGAUUUCAGUGGAAAUGCACCUUCUUACACCAGGUCUGAAUUAAGUUCAGUGUGCAACAACAUCAAACCAUGGGAAGGUGGGAUAUAAGGAAGCAGGGAAUGAUAAAACAAGGGCAGAGGGAGAAGUUCUUUUGGGAUAGCAUGUGGGGUUUUUUUUGGAGAGGGAUGCUGGUUAUCAACUGAAUUGUCUUAAUUUGUUGCAUUCUUUUUUUUUUAUUGUUGUAAGUCAGUGGCUCUCAAGCUUUCCAGACUUCCCUUUCAGGAGUCUUAUUUGUCUUGCAUACCCCCAAGUUUCACCUCGCUUAAAAACUACUUGCUUACAAAUAAGACAUAAAAAUACAAAAAAGUGUCACAGCACACGAUUGCUGAAAAAUUGCUGACUUUCCCCUUUUUACCAUAUCAUUAUAAAAUAAAUCAAUUGGAAUAUUGAUAUUGUACUUACAUUUCAGUAUACAGAGCAUAAGUCAUUGUCUGUACAAAAUUUUAGUUUGCACUGACUUCACUAGUGGUUUUUAUGUAGUCUGUUAUACAACUAGGCAAGUAUCUAGAUGAGUUGAUGUAACUCCUGGAAGACCUCUACGUACCCCCAUGAACCACUGUGGUAAGUGACUUCUAUCAUAAGCAGUGGGCAAAGAGCAGCAAGUGCCUAGGUGUAGAUUAUUAGAAGUAAUAAUGUUAAAGACCACUUUGGCCACUGAAUUCAUUGGGAGUAGAAUCCAGAACUCUAAGGGGAAAUGAAGGAGGAAAGUGUGGUUGCUUGGCCAACAGGAAUGCAAAGAUAAAAAUAAAUGUGAAAUAUAAUAUAGAUGUGUAAAACCAAUAAGCAUGGCUGCUGGUACAAGUGUGUGAGCAAGAAUACACGUGUAUAAUGUGUGUGUGUGUUUAGUUACCAUGACUGCAUGCGAAAAGGAUCAGUAUCUCACUGUCCCUUUGCAUGUUCAGUUACUGUGAUUCUGAAUGAAAACUGUAUGUACAAAUUAUGCACAUGCAUUGUGGAAUGUGAAUAUUUAAAACUCUAGGCCUCAGUAGCUGCAAGAAUUUGGAAUCCGCCAGCUUUGCAAAAUGCAGAGCAUUACUAACCUCCUGCAAACACCGUAUGGGUGCUGAUAGGAAAAUAAGUCAAACAGUACAAUAAAAGCUCAUUGGUAAAACAAAGGUCAGUAUGUGAGGGUCACUAAUGAUAAAUACAGCCUCUCCCCAGUCAGAACACAAGCCCAGAGUCUCAGGCUGUCCCUUAGUGCCAUACCUACCAGCUCUCCCGUUUGCAUGAACAGUGAGUGGAUUUAAAUGUAUUGGAAUUAGUGAUUACAGCAACUGUUGGGUUGGCAUCAACCAUCCUUCCUUCCAUGCCCAUUAACAGAGAGAUACAAAUCUAGUUCCAGCAGGAAAUAAUUACUGUAUACACUUGUUCAUUAGCCCGUUUGUUUAUAAGCCAAUCCCCGUGUAGGUGUGUGCUGUUGGGGUCGCCCCUCUCUGGGGUGGCUGGGAGCCAGACCGCCUCACUACACAAGUCUGGUGAGUUGGGGAAUUAGCCUGAUGGGGCAGGAAACAGUCAAGGGCUCAGGCCCUCAGGAAGGGACUGAGCAAAUAGUUCCCUGACUGGCCUAGCCCUAGAUAAGGGCAGGCUGCAAGUGCUCAGUUGGGAGCUCAGGCCCUCAAACAGAGGCUGAGCAAAUAGUUCAACAAGCCCAGGCCCUGGGUCAGGGCAGGCAGCAAACAAACAGUUCAGGGUUCAGAUCCUCUGGCAGGGGCUGAGCACAGAGUUCAGUAAUAAGCCCAGGCCCUGGGUCAGGGCAGGCAGCACACAAACAGUUCAGGGCUCAGACCCUCAGGCAGGGGCUGAGCACAGAGUUCAGUAAUAAGCCCAGGCCCUCGGGCAGGGCAGCAAACAGUUCAAGAACAAAACCCAGGUUCCUGAGCGUCUAGGCGUGGGGGAGACAGCCACCCGUGAGUGGGGACGCAGGCCUGCCCACUCCACUGCGUCCCAGCCCGGGGC